GGAGAGAUGGCAGAGUGGUCGAAUGCGCCUGACUCGAAAUCAGGUUAUGGGGUGACUCAUACGGGGGUUCGAAUCCCUCUCUCUCCGCCA
rnacentral:tRNA from 1 species